UACGUAGGUGGCAAGCGUUGUCCGGAUUUAUUGGGUUUAAAGGGUGCGUAGGUGGCCCUGUAAGUCAGUGGUGAAAUAUCUCAGCUUAACUGAGAGGGUGCCAUUGAUACUGCAGGGCUUGAGUACAGAUGAGGUAGGCGGAAUUGACGGUGUAGCGGUGAAAUGCAGAGAUAUCGUCAAGAACACCGAUAGCGAAGGCAGCUUACCAAGCUGUAACUGACACUGAGGCACGAAAGUGUGGGGAUCAAACAGG
rnacentral:rRNA from 1 species